rnacentral:rRNA from 1 species
GAUCAAACGUUGAAGGGCUUCUGACGGAUGCCUUGGCGUAGAGAGGCGAUGAAGGACGUGGCAAGCUGCGAUAAGAGUCGGGGAGGCGCUAGCACCCUUUGAUCCGACUAUUUCCGAAUGGGGAAACCCACCUUUACGGUCUUCCAACUCUGUUUGCUUCGGCAGGCGGCGAUUGGCGGAUCGUUGAAAGGUAUAAUGACCUGAAUACAUAGGGUUCAUUAAGCGAACCCGGGGAACUGAAACAUCUCAGUACCCGGAGGAAAGGACAUCAACCGAGACUCCCGUAGUAGUGGCGAGCGAACCGGGACCAGGCCAGUGCUCUUGUGAAAUAAAGCCGAACGAUCUGGAAAGGUCGGCCAUAGCGGGUGAAAGCCCCGUAGGCGUCAAAUAGCAAGAGACUCGAGUAGGGCGGGACACGUGAAAUCCUGUCUGAACAUGGGGGGACCACCCUCCAAGCCUAAGUACUCCUCUACGACCGAUAGUGAACAAGUACCGUGAGGGAAAGGUGAAAAGCACCCCGACAAGGGGAGUGAAACAGAUCCUGAAAUCGGAAGCCUACAAGC